rnacentral:rRNA from 1 species
UUAAAUUAAGCAAUCUAUACGGUGAAACUGCGAAUGGCUCAUUAUAUCAGUUAUCGUUUAUUUGAUAGUACCUUACUACUUGGAUACCUGUGGUAAUUCUAGAGCUAAUACAUGCUAAAAACCUCGACUUCGGAAGGGGUGUAUUUAUUAGAUAAAAAACCAAUGCCCUUCGGGGCUCCUUGGUGAUUCAUAAUAACUCAACGAAUCGCAUGGCCUUGCGCCGGCGAUGGUUCAUUCAAAUUUCUGCCCUAUCAACUUUCGAUGGUAGUAUAGAGGACUACCAUGGUUUCUACGGGUAACGGGGAAUUAGGGUUCUAUUCCGGAGAGGGAGCCUGAGAAACGGCUACCACAUCCAAGGAAGGCAGCAGGCGCGCAAAUUACCCAAUCCCGACACGGGGAGGUAGUGACAAUACAUACUGAUCCAGGGCUCUUUUGGGUCUUGGAAUUGGAAUGAGUACAAUUUAAAUCCCUUAACGAGGAACAAUUGGAGGGCAAGUCUGGUGCCAGCAGCCGCGGUAAUUCCAGCUCCAAUAGCGUAUAUUAAAGUUGUUGCAGUUAAAAAGCUCGUAGUUGAAACUUGGGUCUGGCUGACCGGUCCGCCUCACCGCGUGCACUGGCUUGGCCGGACCUUUCCUUCUGGGGAACCGCAUGGCCUUCAUUGGUCGUGUUGGGGAUCCAGGACUUUUACUUUGAAAAAAUUAGAGUGUUCAAAGCAGGCCUAUGCUCGAAUACAUUAGCAUGGAAUAAUAGAAUAGGACGUGUGGUUCUAUUUUGUUGGUUUCUAGGACCGCCGUAAUGAUUAAUAGGGACGA